rnacentral:rRNA from 1 species
UACAGGGGUGCAAACGUUGCUCGGAAUCAUUGGGCGUAAAGCGCACGUAGGCGGUCUGUUAUGUCGGAUGUGAAAGCCCUUGGCUCAACUGAGGAAGUGCAUCCGAAACUGGCAGGCUAGAGUACUAAAGAGGGUCGCGGAAUUCCCGGUGUAGAGGUGAAAUUCGUAGAUAUCGGGAGGAACACCGGUGGCGAAGGCGGCGACCUGGGUAGAUACUGACGCUGAGGUGCGAAAGCGUGGGGAGCAAACAGGG